rnacentral:rRNA from 1 species
GACGAACGCUGGCGGCGUGCUUAACACAUGCAAGUCGAACGGAAAGGCCCUGCUUUUGUGGGGUGCUCGAGUGGCGAACGGGUGAGUAACACGUGAGUAACCUGCCCUUGACUUUGGGAUAACUUCAGGAAACUGGGGCUAAUACCGGAUAGGAGCUCCUGCUGCAUGGUGGGUUGGAAAGUUUCGGCGGUUGGGAUGGACUCGCGGCUUAUCAGCUUGUUGGUGGGGUAGUGGCUUACCAAGGCUUUGACGGGUAGCCGGCCUGAGAGGGUGACCGGCCACAUUGGGACUGAGAUACGGCCCAGACUCCUACGGGAGGCAGCAGUGGGGAAUAUUGCACAAUGGGCGGAAGCCUGAUGCAGCAACGCCGCGUGCGGGAUGACGGCCUUCGGGUUGUAAACCGCUUUCGCCUGUGACGAAGCGUGAGUGACGGUAAUGGGUAAAGAAGCACCGGCUAACUACGUG